AUGACCUUCCUGCCUCCUCUGUGAUAUACCCUGGGUGUCAGAGAAUUGGUGGUAACCAUUUUAGCGGGGAGAGCGGAAUAUACAAGAGCAAAAAUGCACAGAACAGCAGUAUGCACUCUAGAAACCACAAGGAACUUGAGUCUGCAAAGCAUAAAGUUGCAAGGAGAGGAGUGGCUACUACUAAAGCCAGGGAGGAAGGCACAGGCCAAGUCAAGGAAGGCCUUCUAUAGUUCCUGAGGAGCCUGGGCUGCAUGUCGUGGAUGGUGGGGAGUCACUGGUCAAUUUCAGAUGGUCCAUGGUCAUGGAUUUUAGGUGCACGUCAAUCAAGGAACAGCCAGAUGAACCUCCAUGGACAAUAGUGUUAGUAGACACUAUCUAACGCCCAAAGUGUGGGGCCAGGAGCAGUUUCCACUCAAGACAUAAUU